CAGUAGGUGGCGGUAAUACUCCAAAGGAGUGAGAGCUCAUUAAUUGGACGAAGAAGAAGACUGCACAUGCGUAGUUACUUGGUUCAGAUAGCAGGUUCAUUAAUUUGCACGUGGCUGGAUAAGAGCAUGAUGAGAAGUUUGUUUCUUUGAAGAGCACAGUGGACAUGCAGUGGAAGUAUUAUUGCUGAGUUCAACCGGAUCACAAGCAAAAACCUCAAGCAAGAAUUCUUCUCAGCCCUUGAUAAUCAUACUUCUCGUUUUCUGGAAAUUUUCGAAUCAAAGAAAGGCAUGGAAAAAAUGGAAAAAAGCUCUUGGAGCUUCUAAUGCAAAUGAAGUCUGCAAACAUCACUGAUGUCACUGCUCGACGGACAGCAGUUCUCCGUGGUCUUGCUGUCCUUCUUGGGGAAGACACUACAGACUUCUUCAAAACAUGCUUUGACAUUUAUAUCGUUGCACCUCAAGUAUCGAAAGGAAUUCUCACUGUGGUGCCAGAGGACAGCCCGAUGUCUCCACAAGGUUUGCCAUUGGAGGUCACUGAUACAGCAAUAAUUUUGGAGGGUGUUAUAGCAAUGGAUGGACUUGAGAAUGUUCCACAUGCCAUGUGUUUUGUUUUUGGGCUGAUCUAUGCUUUAAAUAUGGAGUACCCUUCACAGCUUAAAAACACUUUUGAGUUCAUUCAAAGGGUUUUUCUUUCCCUGGGACACAAAUCUCUCAAGCCAAAACUGCAAUCACUAAAAAACCUACUGAUGUUUUAAUGUGUUUUUGUGUUUCUGAUGGCAGAAACAAGACCGUGUUACUGUAGGUCUGUUGUUGGUUUUUAUUUACUCACCAUCAACCCUUUUUGUUUUAAAAAUGCUUAAGAUUUUGGACACUGUUACAAUAAAAUGAAUGUUUUGACAA